rnacentral:rRNA from 1 species
CGAGUUAAGGUGAUACAAGCUAUUAGCCCACUGAUACUCCUUAUCAGGCCGCGGUAUUUUGACCGGGCAUCGGUAGCAUAAUCAUUAGUCUUUUAAUUGAAGGCUGGAAUGAAUGGUUUGACGAAACAUUAACUGUCUCUGUAGAAUUUGAUAGAAUUUAACUUCUGAGUUAAAAGGCUUAGAUGAAUGUAAAAGACGAGAAGACCCUAUAGAUCUUUAUAUGAAGUUACAAUUAUUUUAUUUAGGUGUAGUGGUGAUAGUUGAGGCAUCAUAUUUUGUUGGGGUGACAUGAAGAUAAAAAUAACUCUUUAUAUUAUACACAUUGAUUUAUGAAUGAUUGAUCCAUUUUUAGUGAUUGUAAGAUAAAGUUACCUUAGGGAUAACAGCGUAAUUUUUUUUGAGAGUUCAUAUCGACAAAAAAGAUUGCGACCUCGAUGUUGGAUUAAGGAAUAUGAUUAGGUGUAGAAGUUUAAUUAAUAAGUCUGUUCGACUUUUAAAUCCUUACGUGAUCUGAGUUCAGACCGG